rnacentral:lncRNA from 1 species
UUUUUGCACCUGCAGGAUAAUGAAACAACUUCAUCUGAAGCUUUAUAUAACUCACCUAAGCUUCUACAUGGUGUGUUUGACCAGUUACUCGAUGAUCUGGUAAGCUAAUACUAGGCCGCAGUAAAUUCCUUGAUAUAUCUGCGCCAACUGAGUGUAUCUUGAUGUCAUUGGCCGCAGCUCAACACUAGGGGUCGUAAUAUAUAAUUCAGCACAAACAGGGUCCUGAGGUUAAUAACUGUGUAAGCAUAUAAGAUCAUCUAUUUCUGGAGUUAAUUUGUGUUUUCAGGAUAUCGGCUUGGAUGGUGACUAUAUCCUACUUGGUACUUCUACUCAUACAUAAAUUCAGAUAUGCUCAAUUGUCACCAUCUAUUCAGUUGCAUAUAGGGCUGGACACGAGCCGAGCCGAGCCGAGCUUGAUCCGAGCCUGGCUUUGGCUCGCUCUGAAGCGGCUCGGCUCGGCUCUCGGCUCGCUCAGCCAACGAGCCUAGUUCAGGCGGCUCGGCUCGUUUUAGGUGUGGCUCGGCUCAGACCAAGCCGGCUCAUAAGCCAGCUGCCCCAGAGCCUUUGUACUUAUGUAUAUUAGUAUAUACUCCACAAUCUUGAUUCUUUUGCAGCAAUUAAACCCAUAUUUUGAAAAACAAACAAUUUAUAUUGCUAAAAAUGAAACAUCCAGCAAUCUAUUGUUUUAAGAAAUGGUCAUAGUAAUGAAAAAUAAGCUUUCUUCUAUGAGUUCUUCUACGAAAAUUGUAACAAUGUAACAGAUUAGAGAAAGAAUUGGGCAGCAUUUCUACUGUAUUUUGGACAGAACUUCCUUUGAUCUUUACACAGCAAAACAUCAAAUAUUGACAGCCAAACAAAAAAAUUUUGUAUAGCAUAACACAUCAAAACAACACACACACACACAUGAGCUUGGACACUCAUCCUCUUCCACCUCCUCAUGAUCCUCCUCCGCUUGCUUAUCAUGUUCCAUUGCCUAGCACACCAAAACAACACACACACACACAUGAGCUUGGACACACAUUUAUUUGACUUUUGGAUAGCAAAAACAGCACAUACAUGAGCUUGCACAAAUAUAUAUUUGACUUUUCGAUAGCAAAAACAGCACCUAGGUGAGCUUGCACAAACAUAUAUUUGACAUUUGUAUACCAAAAAGAGCACACACAUGAGCUUGCACGAACAUAUAUUCGACAUUUAGGUACCAAAAACAGCACAUAUGAGCUUGGGCACACAUAAAUUUGACUCUCAAAAAGAAAAACAGCACUUACACGAGCUUGCACAAAUAUAUAUUUUGCACCUACAUACCUGGGAAGAUGUAGCCUCCCUCUCAUAGUAGUUUGCGGAGCCGGAGGCAACAGCGAUUCCGGCACGCACCCCAGCGCCGGUGGGGUCAGGGAAACGUCAUAGCAGAGGUUCCUUUUUUACCCUAUACAACAACUCAGCGAUUGGGAAAUUGCUGGAAUCAUUUGCCGGCUUCCUUGGCAGCCGCAUAGUAGCUACUGCAUUGCCCUUCCCAUUCCCCUUCUGCAUCCCCGAGACCGGCAACUUGCUCUUCAUAAUGGAGCCCAACGUCCUUGUUUCUCCUUCUUCCCACCCGCCUUCCCCUUUUCUUUGUCCAUUGUCUGCAUACAUCAGCAAACAACAAACGGUCAAUCAUCAACAACAGUAAACUAAUUAGACAUGGAGUCUAUGUAAUUUUCCAGCAAGUAGAUUAUUUUUCAAGCUGCUAUGCUACAACAAGUAGAUCAUCAACUAGGUCAUCAACAACAGAAAACUAAUUACACAUGGAAUCAAUGAAAAUUUUGAUCUAUCCAUCCAUUCUGCCCUACAACUCCAUCCAUCCAUGAUCCAUCCAUCCGUCGCCGCUACAUCUACCCGUACAGGCUAUAAUACAUCCAUCCAUCUAGCCCUACGUAGAUGUGGGAGUUCGGCCCUACAUCCAUCCAUCCAUCUACCUGUCUGUAUACAUCUACC